GCUUCAUUACACAGAAUACCAACAACAUGAUAAUAAACAAACUCCAUGAAACAAUACGAAUUUGCCUCAUCGAUUGCAAAGGUCUCUACAAAGUUGGCAAUGUCAGAAGACGAAUGAAAUUGUGAUUGUCCUGCCAUAUUAGAAAUCGCAACACUGAGCAAUCAUCUCAGUCUUCCUGAAUGAAUAUAUUGUGCAAUCCCUGAAAGUAAAAAUAGAUGCUUUUCAUAUGCGCUCUGAAACAUCCAAGCAUGGUCACCAACUUUUCAGUGCUGCAACAUCUGUCGUCCAUUGACAGCAUGCUUCUUAAGAAAAUGGAAAGAGUCUUACAAAAUGUUAGGAGAGAAGAGAUAUUUAGCCAAACAAGAAGGGCAUAUACAGAGCUCCAUCAGGAGGAGACCACCACUAACACUGCAACCUAUAAACAUGCCAGUUAGGAAUAGCAGGAUUGGAUGCAAGUUCCUGUCAAAAUCAAAACGAAAUCCACGGAUUAAUGCUCCUGUAUAAUAUUAAUUACCCAAUGGGGAUAAGCACAAGCAUCGGACGAUGUGAAAAUGCAUUACCAACAACCUAGAAUUGGCCAUCAUUCGUCAUAAUGAUCCUUCGAAAAAAUGUGUGAGAGCAAACACAUCAUCAUCAGUAUAGCUCAGUAGAAUUAGAAGCUAGUAAGAUCAUGUACACCCAAAUUCAAAUUCAGGGUAACAUCAAGUAUAUAUACUCUGCCUGCCAACAUUUAACAAAUAGAAUUUUAAAAAAAUAAGAAUUAACCAAUAUACGUUCAUAGGAGAGCUAGCUAGUUCCUUUUGUUUUGCGGGGAGAGAACUAGCUAUUUCUUAACUUAAAAAUUCAGCAUUCACUUAAUUCACAAGGUUCAAGAGAAACUGAAGUUUGUACCGCGAACUUGUACAUAUUCUUCCGUUCUGUAUUGCCCAAUCAAUUUAUGGACUAGAAUGCACGUGAGAAAAUGUAAAACUAUCUUUAAGUUCCUUGCAGAUUGCAAAAGAAAAUAGAAAUAUAAAUUUGAAACGGUCGCUCAUUUACAUUGGUAAUUGAGGAUAUAUGUGUGCAAUGGAAACAGAUCAUUUAGACAUCUGCUCGCAACCUUGAUGAUUUCCCCUCUGAAUAAAUUCAGCAAAACAGUUUAAUCACAUGCCUUAAUCAUAUUACGAGCUACAGGUUUCAUUAUGCUAACAUGGUACCUAAAUACAUCAAGGCGAACUCCGAGUCACGGAGCUCGAAUGGUAAGGACGCUGGCCAUGUUUGAAGGAUCAAAAACUAAUUAACAAGGUAUAUUUGUUCAUCCAACUUAUGGAGACUAUAUAUUCUUGUGUGCCUAACCGUCAGUACAACAUAUUUACCAUUUUCUCGCCAGCACAGGAUUGCCUCGUAUCCAAGUCCCUUGCGUACAUCUUCUGCUCUGAGAUUUCUUUGCUGAAUUUCAAUCCUCAUUGCCUAAUAAAUUCACAGAACAUAAAGCUGGUGUCAUCACUUCAAAUCUUGUCUUACGAAUAGCAUAAAACUAAAUUCCGCUCUGAUUUGAAGCUCGUAAGUUUGUGCAUAUUUCCAUUAACAAAUUCAUAGAGAAUUAGUAUUGCCACCUAGGUACUAGCUGGUCCUUUAUGUACAGCAUUACUAACAUUCAGUAAAUUCAGAUGCAUCAUUUAAAGCUACAAGGUUGCAAAUUCGUGCAAUUUUUUGACGGUGACUUUUACAGAAAAGCAAAAUCACAAAGAGGAUUCACAUGCCCCAUGAGAAACAAAAAUUAAUCUCAACUGGAUCGAAGUUUGAUGCUGUAGUGUUGUUCAUCCUUCUCCACAGUUUGAUACUGAAUUCACAUCGGCCUUGUUCGGUUGCAUUUGAUUUGAAGGGGUUUGUGAGGGAUUAAAUCUCCUGUAAGUCAAAAUCCUCCCCAAUUCCCUUCAAACCCCUCCAAUCCCCUCGGAGAAGGGAUUAACCGAACAAGCCCUCCUUGAAUUGAUCUUCAGACGCCCGUCUACACCAUAACCACCUUCCCUGCAGGUACCACACAAGCUCCCCAUAUUUCUUUCAUUUCAUCCCUUGGCCUCUCUUCCUCUUCCCGUGCUUGCCCCCCUCCCAAUAACAAAUAACCCUGAACUAACAAUUCAGAAAUUCAUGGAGGAUGAGACAGGAAUAAUAGGAGGAAAUAUUUCUUACCGCCGGGGGGACCGCCAAUUGUGGAGGGGCGCCGGAGAAGUUCGUUGUCGCCGCCGAGCUUGCGCCGGACCUUUGCAGCGCCCACAUCGCCUCCAGAUCGCUGCCGCGUGAGACAGGGAAAGGUAAAUACUCCACGCGCAAUAGAGGUAGCCAUCUCCUCCUGGUCGUCCCUCCGGUGUCGUGCUGCCGCCGCUCCGCAAUGGUGAUAGGGAUAGGAAGGGGCCCGGGGAGAG
rnacentral:lncRNA from 1 species